rnacentral:rRNA from 1 species
AUUGAACGCUGGCGGAAUGCUUUACACAUGCAAGUCGAACGGCAGCACGGACCUCGGUCUGGUGGCGAGUGGCGAACGGGUGAGUAAUGUAUCGGAACGUGCCCAGUCGUGGGGGAUAACGUAGUGAAAAUUACGCUAAUACCGCAUACGAUCUAUGGAUGAAAGCGGGGGAUAGCAAGACCUCGCGCGAUUGGAGCGGCCGAGAUCAGAUUAGGUAGUUGGUGGGGUAAAGGCCCACCAAGCCAACGAUCUGUAGCUGGUCUGAGAGGACGACCAGCCACACUGGAACUGAGACACGGUCCAGACUCCUAAGGGAGGCAGCAGUGGGGAAUUUUGGACAAUGGGCGAAAGCCUGAUCCAGCCAUUCCGCGUGCAGGAUGAAGGCCCUCGGGUUGUAAACUGCUUUUGUACAGAACGAAAAGGUUUCUACUAAUACUAGGAGCUCAUGACGGUACUGUAAGAAUAAGCACCGGCUAACUACGCGCCAGCCGCCGCAGUAA